rnacentral:rRNA from 1 species
GAUGAACGCUGGCGGCGUGCCUAAUACAUGCAAGUCGAGCGAACAGACGAGGAGCUUGCUCCUCUGACGUUAGCGGCGGACGGGUGAGUAACACGUGGAUAACCUACCUAUAAGACUGGGAUAACUUCGGGAAACCGGAGCUAAUCCCGGAUAAUAUAUUGAACCGCAUGGUUCAAUAGUGAAAGACGGUUUUGCUGUCACUUAUAGCUGGAUCUGGGCCGCAUUAGCUAGUUGGUAAGGUAACGGCUUACCAAGGGGACGAUGCGUAGCCGACCUGAGAGGGUGAUCGGCCACACGGGAGCGGGGACACGGUCCAGACUCCUACGGGAGGCAGCAGUAGGGAAUCGUCCGCAAUGGGCGAAAGCUUGACGGAGCGAGGCCGCGUGAGUGACGACGGUCUUCGGAUCGUAAUACUCUGUUAUUAGGGAAGAACAAAUGUGUAAGUAACUAUGCACGUCUUGACGGUACCUAAUCAGAAAGCAACGGCUAACUACGUG